rnacentral:rRNA from 1 species
AUUGAACGCUGGCGGCAGGCUUAACACAUGCAAGUCGAGCGGAGCGAGGGUGCUUGCACCUUAGCUGAGUGGCGAACGGGUGAGUAAUACAUCGGAACGUGCCCAGUCGUGGGGGAUAACGUAGCGAAAGCUACGCUAAUACCGCAUACGAUCUAAGGAUGAAAGCGGGGGAUCGCAAGACCUUGCGCGAUUGGAGCGGCCGAUGGCAGAUUAGGUAGUUGGUGGGGUAAAAGCCUACCAAGCCGACGAUCUGUAGCUGGUCUGAGAGGACGACCAGCCACACUGGGACUGAGACACGGCCCAGACUCCUACGGGAGGCAGCAGUGGGGAAUUUUGGACAAUGGGCGCAAGCCUGAUCCAGCCAUUCCGCGUGCAGGAUGAAGGCCCUCGGGUUGUAAACUGCUUUUGUACGGAACGAAACGGCCCCUUCUAAUACAGGGGGCUAAUGACGGUACCGUAAGAAUAAGCACCGGCUAACUACGUGCCAGCAGCCGCGGUAA